UCUCCAGACGUCGCUGAUCUCGUGCAACUGUUGUUUAGCUAAAUUUUUCUUUAGAACCAACUCUGGUUUUGUGGCUCUCGGGUUGUAGCCAAUAUUCUAUGUGAUUCAACUUAAAUCAUACGUGAUCUCUCUAAUUAUUUGAUGGGUUUUCGUUCUCUUUUAUGUGGUAUUAUGAAUUUCAUUCACGGGUAAUAUGAAUUUUUUGAAAUAAUUGCGAUUUGUGUUUCUAAUGUUUACAGAUCUGGGUUCAUGGCAUCACGUAUUCGAUUAUCUUCUGGUAAGCUCUCUGUCAACAAUGAACUCUAUCCCAACCAACAAUAAUCAUUGCAACUUGAUAGUUGAUAAUGUAAAAACCAAAAUGUGUGUUUAGUUUUUUGGCAUGGAAAAAGUGUGGGCUGUAGAGUAUGAACAGAAAUUAGAAAUCAUAGAGAUGCAAUGAUGCAUGUUCCUAUAGUAUAAGAUUCAACUAGUUACGGGCAAAUGUGUGUUUCCAUAUAUCUCCCAAGUUGUAAUCCUUGACAAAAGACUAAAAUAAAGUAUAAGCUUAUCACAACCUGAGUUAAUGUCAUCACAUACAUACCAGUCAAAGAUAUAUUUUCUGAAACUACAACCUUCUCUUUACAAGAGUCUAAAUGAGGCUGCUUAUUCUGUAAGAUCCUUCUGUUAAUGAGGAAAAGCAUGUUUAACAUAACAAUAUUUUGCGUUUAACUUAUGAUUACUCCAAGUACUUGACAUGGUAUUAUUAGCAAAUGGCAGUUCAAUCCAUUCAGUACUCCCCUAGACUACAUUGUGAAGUGUUAGUAUUCAGUAGGGUAAAGGUUGAAAUUGGCCUUAAAUUAGAACUGACAUUGUAAUUCUUUGCUAUACAAUGCAUCUGUGCCUUGAACUUUGAUAGGCUUAUAUAAGUCAGAAGCUUAUUUGUUUAGAUUUGUCACAUCCCGACUCUAAAAUUUUUACAUUAUUUAUUAGCUUGGUAUUAAUAAAAGUUUUACCGUUUUCGUCAAUGAGUUUAUAGUUUAAAUGGUCCUCAAAGGGGUUUUGAGGGACGAUUAUUUCGGAGGAAUUGCUCGUAGGAGAAAAUUUUGACGACGGUAAAAAUGGUAAUUUCAACUAGUAAAAGGUAAUUUUUUAUUAGGGUAUUUUUAUUGGGGUAUUUUAUUUUAUGGAGUGGGGUGUUUUAAGUGUGACCGGGCCAUUUUUGGGGUCAAAGCCCACACUCCCUCACUUCUCUCUCUCUUCUCUCCCUGAUUUCUCCCGAAGCUCUCUCUCUCACUCUCACUGUCGGAAGCUUCCCGCCGUCCGCCCGUCGCCGUCCGGCCAGCCCUAACUGCCACUCCGGUCUCGAACAAGCCACUGUCCCCUCCUCUCUCUUCCUAGGCCGAUGUGCAAGCCAACAGCGCCGCCGAACGGGAGAAAUCUCCUCCUAGGAGCUCGGCUGCCCUCUCGUCGGAACUUCCUCCUCCGCCCACCAAUCCGGAUAAGCCUUAUACGGUUUUGAAGGUCUUCAACCUAGUUGCCUUGCCCUAAAAGGACUCACUCCGAUUCGCUUCAGGUGAGGAGAAAUGUGGAGUGGAAAUUUCUAGAGCUCUUUUGUUGUUUUUAGUCGAUUACCUUAGUUAGGCUUGGAAUUGAUGUUUGUGCUAAUUAAGAAAGUUGUAGAGGGGGUUGAGAGGAAGAUACUGUCAAAAUUUCAUAAGCAUUGGAGGUCGCCGGAGACGCCUCCGGCCGCCGCUGUUUGGGAGAUUAUUAUGGUUUUAAAUGUGGAAUAUUAAGGGAAGUUUAUUGAUGUGAAUUAUGGAAUUUUUGGAGGAGUUUUGGACGGGUUUGUGAUUUUCCGAAGUUUAGUAUUUUUAGCGGUUAAUUAAUGUAGAAUCCGGCUUUAAGAUUUCAAUCAUUGUUCUGGGGAGGUUGUUGUAAUACCCCAGAAAUUUGAUUUUAGUUUCUAAUGUUAUUUGGGAAUUUUUGAGUUAGAAGUAGUGUGUUUGAGGUUCGAAAGAAGAGUGGAAGUGUUCAGAUGCGUAAUUUACUCGAAAGGGUUUCUUUUUCAUUCAGGGUCAUAGAGUUGACUUUUUAUUCAUUGGGUUUCUUGAGAAACUUUCUUCACGAAAGUUGUAGAGCAUGACGAUAUGAGUUCGUAGACACGUGGCACACGUAGAACGGACUUCGUAUGAGAAAGUUAUGGUCAACGGAAGUUUGCGGCGUUACGAGAAUUUUGGGUUAAAUAGGAAAGUUUUCUCUUGAGUCCUCACAUUUUUCAGAAAACCCAAAUCCUUCCCUCUCCUUCUCUCUCCCCGACCCCGAGAGAGUGCAAAACGCCCAGCCGACCCGACCUGGACCCGGUCAACCCGACCCGACUUUUCCAGCUGACUCCGGCCGACCCAGACGACGGCACCGGUCGAAAAAGCUUCCUCUCCUCGGCGCAAGGCUCCCUGUGUUGGCGAGUGAAGACGAUAUGGACGGAUCGGCGCUGAUCGAGCGCCAACAGUGAGGGCGACGACCCGGAUUGCAACCCGACCGGUUCUCACCUCCGGCGGCAGUAGCAAGGCUGAAACCAGUCGGGAUAGGAAGUGUUGGACGUCCUCGUUCGAUCCCUGGUGGUGUUGAAGCUCGACUCACGGCGGAGAGUGGCGGUGGUGGAUCCUAAUCUUUCCGGCGAGUUUCCGGCAUGUUUCCGGCCGAUUGGGGCGAAACCUCAGGUAUUAAAAGUGUUCCUUUUGCUGUGCUCUUUAAUGUUGCGGAUGGAAGUUUGUUGAGUUGUUGAAGUUUCGGGGUGGCGCGUGGUGCCCACUCGCCGCCGCUUGUGGUGGCCCGUGCCGGCGAGUCCGGUAGUGUCUGUGGUGUUUUACGGUGUUUGUUAGGUAGUACUCUUCGUUACGAACGUGUUGGUAUGUGGGUUGUAGGUUUUGGUUACCAUUAUUGCAUGCUAGGGUUUCCACUUGGUGCUAAGUUCCGUUCGGUUCAGUUUUGGGUAAAUCCGAGCAUGAGAAUCUGGUUAGUAGUUCUAUAGGUUGUGUAGGACGUUUCGGUGACCUUUUAGAGGUCAAGGAGGAGGAUUUGUCUCGAGUGACAAACUCGUGGGUUAGGACAUGAGUUUCCGUUCGAGUCGGAUAAUGUUGUUGUUGAUAGUUACUAAGGUUAACGUUUUUGUUAAUUGGUGACUUGUGGAGUAUGGUUUUGAGCUAUAUGCUUGUGUUGUGCGUGUGAAGACGCAGCGGGAGUUAAGGUGAGUAAAAUCUCACCAAGGUCCACUUUGUAGCCUAUUUAUUUUGAUGAUGAUUUGAUGAUGAUUGUGAUGUUGAUUUUGAUGAUAAUUAAGAUGAUGAUUGUGAUGUUGAUUUUGGUGAUGGUUGUGAUGUUGGUUUUGAUGGUGAUAAUCAUUAUGAUAAUUAUUAUAAUGAUGAUUAUGAUGGUGAUUUUGAUGAUGAUUUUGAUGAUGAUUGUGAUGGUGAUUUUCAUGAUGAUGAUAAUUAUGGGUAAGUGUGAAGUUAUCCUUGAAAGAAAAUGAUUUUGUUUUUAAAUAUAAAUGAGCUUGAUCGUCAACGGCUCAUGGUAAGUGAAAACACGUUUUCUGUUAAUAAUAUAAUCUUUCAAAAGGACUUCCGAUCAUGAGUCAUAAUUAGAGUCGGUAGAUUAUCCUUUUUUUAAUAUUUAUAUCCACGUGUUUAUGUGUGAAAGGCACGUUAUGAUAAUGUGAUAGUGUGAUGUAGAAUUGUUUGUUUAAUUAGUCAAACCUGGUUCCAAGCCUUUAAUCAGGUGAUUGGUUACGGUUAUGAUGAUAUUAUUAUUUUUGUGAUCUGAUAAGUGUUAUGACGUGAGAGUAAUAGAAUGUGUGCCUUAGUGGUGAGUGAGUGCAUUCGUUGUGGAAUGGUGCCUUAGUGGUGAUUGUUGCAUUAGUUGUGAAUAUGUGUGUCGUAGUGGUGAUGGUGUACAUUAGAUUAGGAGCCUUCGUGGUGGACCAGGAACCAAGCCUUGGCCGGGUGAUUGGUUACGGUCAGUAUAGAGCUAUAGUCUGUCGGUACUUCAUGGGGGAUGACUAUGUGUUGACGAACCCAUGAGUACGUGUUUGUCUAGUUACUUAUGGGGGAUGACUAUGCGUUGACGAACCUAUAAGUAAGAGUAGAGAAAUGAUUGUGUGAUGUUUUUAUAUGAUGUCAUUUAAUUUCCUUGUUUCGAGUAUUUCCUGAACUAUGCUUGUCCGUAGGAGAUUCUCUAAUUUUAAUUGUGUGAUUUUAAUGGAAUUCCUGAACUAUACUUUUUGCUGGAUUUCAUUUAUGAUUUUGAGUGAUUGUGAAUUGUUGUGUUUUCUUAAUUUCUCCUUUCGAUUUCUCUUGUUUGUAAGUGUUUUUCUGAAUUUAUUUUUAAUGCAUGAACUCUUGGUGUUUACCUUAUGUGUUGUUGGGUUGAGUAUGUUGUUAGAGAUUUACUCAUACGAGCUUUUAAAGCUUACCGGGUUUGUUGUUUACAACCCGGUGCACCAAUCCAUGGUGCAGAGGUUGUUUUUGCAGGUCAGGAUUAGCAGAGUUGAGGCUGCGGCAGUUAGGCUUGUUCCUUGUGUUUACUUUCUAGAUUUUUGUGAGUAUUGAGGGAGGUUUUACUUGUUUCAAAUUAUUCUUUCACAAGUUGUAAAACUAAAGUGUUGUAAAGUUUGUUUUUCUUUUAGUUAUCAUGCCUUGAAUUUGGAAUUUUUAUUUAUCCAAAAUUCGGGGUGUGACAGUCUGGUAUCAGAGCCUGGUUGCAUAUUUGGUGAUAAUCAGUAUCUUUGAGUGAUGGCUCGACUGCAGCGGAUCACCAUCACUCUUUGGUAAUGAUAUGUCAUUGGGUAUGCGGGAGGUUAAUGUGUUGUCUUGAGUGUUAGGUUCUCAGAGCAUAGGUUGCUCUGUAAGUAAGGAGUGUGAGAGUUGGGUAGCGUUUCUUGAGGUUUAGUCUUUUGAGAAAUAAGAAUCAUUAGAUUGACUCCUUUUCAGCUGCCCCUGGUAAGCUAGAGGAUUUGUGAUUUGGUGAGCAAAGUUUAGUAGUGAAAGGUACUUUGUUCUCUUUUCUUCUUCAUGAGAGUGAACUAGGAUUUUGUUGGCGUGUCUUUUCUGUGAUGUUGUGGUGGUGUUGUGUUUUGAUUUUAUUUCUCUUAGAGAGUUACCGAAAAUGAGAUUUUCGGUGAAUAUAAAUAUGUAUUUAUGAGGAGAGUAUGUAUAAAAAUGCUAGCUAGCCAUAUGUGUCUAUCCACCUUAAUGGCGUAGCAUAUAGCCGCAUUAUGGUGUGACGUGAGCGUUGGACGCGAGAGUAGUAGCCCUAUAUGAGUGUUUAAUUCAUAUAGGGGGUAUGGGCACAUAUUUGUACACCCGUCUGUCCACCUUAAUGGCGUAGUGUAUCACCGUAUUAAGGCGUACGUGAGCGUAGUAGCCCUAUAUAGACCCAUGAAUUUAUAGAGGGAGUAUGGACGUGUGUAAAUACAUACAUAUAUUUUAGAGCCUGAGAGGUUCGAUAUUUAUGUGAUGAAAGUUUUAUUGCUUGCAGCAUGCAUUCGAUUUUUCCUUGGAAAUUGAUUUGGGGAAACAUAUAUAUUUUAUUUAUUAAUUUAUUUUUGUCCACUCACUCUUACGUGUUUCAAAUGUUUUCCCCUGGGCCCUACGUUUUAAAAUGCCCAGUUUGCAGGAUUGCGGGUUUUUCUUACUAAAGUUAGUAAAUAAAUUGGGAGAUGUUGUGAUUUGGGGAGCACGAAGGCUCCAGGAGGAGAGGGUCAUAGAUGGAUUCUUUUGAAGUGUAUGCAGGUAUUUCUAGGAAGGGUUGUCCAUUUUCAAGAGAGGUUAUGCCGAAUUUUCGGUAAAUUUUCCUUAGAGGUGGUCCCCGCAGGAUUUACUUCGGGUUUCAAGGUGAAAUUCGGGGUGGGUCUUGACAAGAUUAGUCCUUCAUCUGUCUCCUAUGAAUAUUACAAACCAAUUUGAUAGAGAUAUGCAUGUUAUUUGUAUGGAUUAAUUAGUGCUUCAUCUGUGUCCCUUUUGAUAGGCAUAUAUAAGUCUGAAGCUUAUUUUAGUUCCAUUGUAAUGAUGUAUUUGUUUGAUGCAGGGUUUGGUGUAAUGACCUCCUACUACAAAUAAUGGUGUAAAAACCAAAUAGGUUAGCUUUUUGAAAUAAUGCUUUUUGAAAAUUUCUGAUUAGCUUCUCUUGUAUACUGAUCAAAUAGGUAAAAACCAACAGGGAUACUUGGAGAAUUUUGAGCUAUUUUUCUUAGAACUCUAAAUAAAGGUCCAUGAUCUUAUGUCUUUAGCAUGUGUGGAUUUGAUCAGUGUUUCGAGGUACUAUUAAUGUGCAACUCUUGGUUGUGAGGUAAAUGUCGAUGUGGAAGUCUUUAAGUCUUUAUUAUGUCAUAUUUUGUAAGGUUAGUCCCUUUAAGCAUGAGUCCAUAUGUACUCAAAUGAAGAAAGAAGUCUAGGGCCUAGUCUGAUUAUACUAUUAUGUAGUUUCAAACUAGGAUGGUCUCUUCAAGAGUUGAGAAGAGUAAGCGAAACCCGAAAGCUUAAUUUCACAGCAAAGCACUCCUUUUUAUGGUGCAUAAUAAAGAACAUGAUCAUAUGGUGCAUAAUAAAAAGCAUAAACAACCUGAUCUUAAGUUUAUUCAACAUGUUGGACUUGUAUGUAUUCGUCAUGCAAUUACAUUUUCUCUGAAGUUAGAUUUGUUUAACUUCUAUUGGUAUGCGCGCGCGCACACACAUAAAGUAUGUUCUGCCAAAUUUUACCGACCUUGGACGU
rnacentral:lncRNA from 1 species